AUGGAUCUAUACUUCAAAUGUGGAAAGGUUGAGUCAGCCGAAAACAUCUUUAAAUUGAUACCGAAGACAACACCAGUUUCUUGGGAUGUUAUGAUUUCUGGAUAUAUAACUGAAGGGAAACUUUUUGAAGCACUUAACCUCUUCAGCAAAAUGAUACAAUCAUCUGUUGAACCAGAUGUUAUUACUUUCACCAAUGUUUUAGCAGCUUGUUCGCAACUAGCGGCACUAGAAAAGGGUUGCAGAAGAUCUCCUUUGCCGCACAUUCUUUGGGAGGCUUAG